GCUGCAGGCUGAGGACCUAGAGAAUAUCCGAGUUGGAAGGGACCCACAAGGAUCACCGAGUCCAACUCCUGGCUCCACACAGGACCACCCAAAAAUAAAACGGUAUGUCUAAGACCAUUGUCCAAACAUUUAUUGAACACUGGUAGGCUCAGUGCCAUGACCACUGCCCUGGGGAGCCUGUCCCAGUGCCUGACCAUCUCUGGGUGCAGAACCUUUUUCUAACAUCCAGCUUUAUCCACCCCUGUCACAGCUUCAAGCUUUUCCCUUGGGACCUGUUGUUGGUCAACAGAGAGAAGAGCUCAGUGCCUGUCUCUCCACUCCCCCAUGUGAGGAAGUUGUAAACUAGCAUGAGAUCUC